rnacentral:rRNA from 1 species
UGGGGAAUCUUGCGCAAUGGGCGAAAGCCUGACGCAGCGACGCCGCGUGAGGGAAGAAGGCCUUCGGGUUGUAAACCUCUUUCAGGAGGGACGAAGCCACUCGGGUUAACAGCCCAGAGGGUGACGGUACCUCCAGAAGAAGCCCCGGCUAACUACGUGCCAGCAGCCGCGGUAAUACGUAGGGGGCAAGCGUUGUCCGGAUUUAUUGGGCGUAAAGAGCGUGUAGGCGGCCAGAUAGGUCGGUUGUGAAAACUGGAUGGCUCAACCUCCAGACGUCGACCGAAACCAUCUGGCUAGAGUCCGGAAGAGGAGAGUGGAAUUCCUGGUGUAGCGGUGAAAUGCGCAGAUAUCAGGAAGAACACCCGUGGCGAAGGCGGCUCUCUGGGACGGUACUGACGCUGAGACGCGAAAGCGUGGGGAGCGAACAGGAUUAGAUACC